GCCGGGUUGGUGGAAGGGCAGACACGGAGGUCUCAAACACCUCUGCUCGCAAGAGCGUGCGGGUUCAAAUCCCGCACCCGGCACCC
rnacentral:tRNA from 1 species